UACGUAGGGGGCAAGCGUUAUCCGGAUUUACUGGGUGUAAAGGGAGCGUAGACGGCAAUGCAAGUCUGGAGUGAAAGGCGGGGGCCCAACCCCCGGACUGCUCUGGAAACUGUAUAGCUGGAGUGCAGGAGAGGUAAGUGGAAUUCCUAGUGUAGCGGUGAAAUGCGUAGAUAUCAGGAGGAACACCAGUGGCGAAGGCGGCUUACUGGACUGUAACUGACGUUGAGGCUCGAAAGCGUGGGGAGCAAACAGG
rnacentral:rRNA from 1 species